rnacentral:rRNA from 1 species
CAAUAGCGUAUAUUAAAGUUGUUGCGGUUAAAAAGCUCGUAGUUGGAUCUCGGCAGGCAGGGGGUGGUUCGCUCUUAGCGCUACUGCCCCAUUUGCCUGUGUGAUUGGCGGAGGUUUCGGGGUGCUCUUCGUUGAGUGACCCGGGGUGCCGUCAGGUUUACUUUGAAAAAAUUAGAGUGCUCAAAGCAGGCUUUUCACGCUUGAAUAUUCGUGCAUGGAAUAAUGGAAUAGGAACUCGUUUCUAUUUUGUUGGUUUUCGGAAAUCGAGUUAAUGAUUAAUAGGGACAAUUGGGGGCAUUAGUAUUCAGACGACAGAGGUGAAAUUCUUGGACCGUCUGAAGACUAACUACUGCGAAAGCAUUUGCCAAGAGUGUUUUCAUUAA